rnacentral:lncRNA from 1 species
AUCAAGAUCAUUUUCAAAAGAUGAUUACUUCAGUGUGCCCAGGCCUGCAGGACAUAAGUACAUGGGCAGGAGUGGUUGUUUCCAAUAUUUGCCUGUUAAAACCAAACGGCAGAGAACAUCUUUCUGCAUGUCUCCAUGGGCGUUUAUAUGAGAUUCUUUCCUGAGAUAUAUCUGCUAGAAGUGGAGUCUGUGGAUCAUCAGGUGUAUAACAGGCUCCUGCAGCCUUCUCUUCCAGUCCUACUUCUAGUCAUCUUACUCAUCUCUCCUUGGCAAAGAGGGAACUUCAAAUGCCCCACAGACUUGGAACAAACCCCAAAGCUCGUCACCCAGCACACAAAUGCAACCAUUUCUGGAUUCAUUCCUCCCAGGAUGGAAAGAAGUGUCUAAGAAAUGACAUCUUGAAGACAGGGGACUCCAGAAUCCGUCGAGACCCACCCAGGUACUCCAAGCCACUGCUGCUUCACAGAUCCCAGGAAAACAACUCCGUUUUUAGAAAUUGUUCAAUCACUCAAAUAGCAUUGAAUAAGCACCUAAUGGGCGUUUGGUACCAGGUGAACACAAAAGAAAAGUCAGCUGUUCUUCUUCAUCCUAAGAGCUUAUGAGUUUAUGGUUGAUUUUCAAGACAAACCCACAAAGUACGUAAAGAUUCAACAGCAAACCAGAGCAGAUGCUUCAGGCUGCUCUCUUCCACAAGGUGCUUCAAGGACCCAGCCCCCUUCCAUCUUGUGGCUCACUUAUCCCCUGGGACCUCACAGUCUUCUGCCUCCAGCCAGUGGAAGGACAUAAAGAGCAUGGAGGAGACACACUCACUUCUUAAAAGCCUUAGCCUUCUCGCUAUUGCCUAGGAGAUCUCAACUAUAGGCCCACCGCUAACUAACAGGAACUAGGAAAUAACGUUUAUCUGUGUGCCUAGAAACAAAGAGGAACGUGACAACUACAUACAGCCAGUCUCUGCCACAUCAUAGGAGGGUCCCCCCAAAGCCUGUGGUUAGAGGAGAACCCUGUUGAUGUUGAUAAAUAUGUUU